rnacentral:tRNA from 1 species
GAGGGAAUAGCUCAAGUGGUAGAGCACAUGCCUAGCACGUAUGAGGUCCUGGGUUCAAUCCCCGUUCGCUCC